rnacentral:rRNA from 1 species
UCAGAUUGAACGCUGGCGGCAGGCCUAACACAUGCAAGUCGAACGGUAGCACAGAGGAGCUUGCUCCUUGGGUGACGAGUGGCGGACGGGUGAGUAAUGUCUGGGAAACUGCCCGAUGGAGGGGGAUAACUACUGGAAACGGUAGCUAAUACCGCAUAACGUCGCAAGACCAAAGAGGGGGACCUUCGGGCCUCUUGCCAUCGGAUGUGCCCAGAUGGGAUUAGCUAGUAGGUGGGGUAACGGCUCACCUAGGCGACGAUCCCUAGCUAGUCUGAGAGGAUGACCAGCCACACUGGAACUGAGACACGGUCCAGACUCCUACGGGAGGCAGCAGUGGGGAAUAUUGCGCAAUGGGCGCAAGCCUGAUGCAGCCAUGCCGCGUGUAUGAAGAAGGCCUUCGGGUUGUAAAGUACUUUCAGCGAGGAGGAAGGUGUUGUGGUUAAUAACCGCAGCAAUUGACGUUACUCGCAGAAGAAGCACCGGCUAACUCCGUGCCAGCAGCCGCGGUAAUACGGAGGGUGCAAGCGUUAAUCGGAAUUACUGGGCGUAAAGCGCACGCAGGCGGUCUGUCAAGUCGGAUGUGAAAUCCCCGGGCUCAACCUGGGAACUGCAUCCGAAACUGGCAGGCUAGAGUCUUGUAGAGGGGGGUAGAAUUCCAGGUGUAGCGGUGAAGUGCGUAGAGAUCUGGAGGAAUACCGGUGGCGAAGGCGGCCCCCUGGACAAAGACUGACGCUCAGGUGCGAAAGCGUGGGGAACAAACAGGAUUAGAUACCCUGGUAGUCCACGCCGUAAACGAUGUCGACUUGGAGGUUGUGCCCUUGAGGCGUGGCUUCCGGAGCUAACGCGUUAAGUCGACCGCCUGGGGAGUACGGCCGCAAGGUUAAAACUCAAAUGAAUUGACGGGGGCCCGCACAAGCGGUGGAGCAUGUGGUUUAAUUCGAUGCAACGCGAAGAACCUUACCUACUCUUGACAUCCAGAGAACUUAGCAGAGAUGCUUUGGUGCCUUCGGGAACUCUGAGACAGGUGCUGCAUGGCUGUCGUCAGCUCGUGUUGUGAAAUGUUGGGUUAAGUCCCGCAACGAGCGCAACCCUUAUCCUUUGUUGCCAGCGGUCCGGCCGGGAACUCAAAGGAGACUGCCAGUGAUAAACUGGAGGAAGGUGGGGAUGACGUCAAGUCAUCAUGGCCCUUACGAGUAGGGCUACACACGUGCUACAAUGGCAUAUACAAAGAGAAGCGACCUCGCGAGAGCAAGCGGACCUCAUAAAGUAUGUCGUAGUCCGGAUUGGAGUCUGCAACUCGACUCCAUGAAGUCGGAAUCGCUAGUAAUCGUGGAUCAGAAUGCCACGGUGAAUACGUUCCCGGGCCUUGUACACACCGCCCGUCACACCAUGGGAGUGGGUUGCAAAAGAAGUAGGUAGCUUAACCUUCGGGAGGGCGCUUACCACUUUGUGAUUCAUGACUGGGGUG